UCCAAAGAUGAGCUCAAAGAGAACAGAAAUCUAGUUUGGAACAGAAGGGUAAAAGCUCAUUUAAUUCUGAUUUCUAGUACGAAUAUGAAUCAUGAAAGCAUGGCCUAAC
rnacentral:rRNA from 1 species